rnacentral:rRNA from 1 species
UUGACGCUGANGUUGGUACUUGUACNACUGGNUGAGCAGCGAACGGGUGAGUAACGCGUGGGGAAUCUGCCUUUGAGCGGGGGACAACAUUUGGAAACGAAUGCUAAUACCGCAUAAAAACUUUAAACACAAGUUUUAAGUUUGAAAGAUGCAAUUGCAUCACUCAAAGAUGAUCCCGCGUUGUAUUAGCUAGUUGGUGAGGUAAAGGCUCACCAAGGCGAUGAUACAUAGCCGACCUGAGAGGGUGAUCGGCCACAUUGGGACUGAGACACGGCCCAAACUCCUACGGGAGGCAGCAGUAGGGAAUCUUCGGCAAUGGACGAAAGUCUGACCGAGCAACGCCGCGUGAGUGAAGAAGGUUUUCGGAUCGUAAAACUCUGUUGGUAGAGAAGAACGUUGGUGAGAGUGGAAAGCUCAUCAAGUGACGGUAACUACCCAGAAAGGGACGGCUAACUACGUGCCAGCAGCCGCGGUAAUACGUAGGUCCCGAGCGUUGUCCGGAUUUAUUGGGCGUAAAGCGAGCGCAGGUGGUUUAUUAAGUCUGGUGUAAAAGGCAGUGGCUCAACCAUUGUAUGCAUUGGAAACUGGUAGACUUGAGUGCAGGANANGAGAGUGGAAUUCCAUGUGUAGCGGUGAAGGCCNUAAAU